rnacentral:rRNA from 1 species
AGCGAACGCUGGCGGCAGGCCUAACACAUGCAAGUCGAACGGACCCUUCGGGGUUAGUGGCGGACGGGUGAGUAACACGUGGGAACGUGCCCUUAGGUUCGGAAUAGCUCCUGGAAACGGGUGGUAAUGCCGAAUGUGCCCUUCGGGGGAAAGAUUUAUCGCCUUUAGAGCGGCCCGCGUCCGAUUAGCUAGUUGGUGAGGUAAAGGCUCACCAAGGCGACAAUCAGUAGCUGGUCUGAGAGGAUGACCAGCCACAUUGGGACUGAGACACGGCCCAAACUCCUACGGGAGGCAGCAGUGGGGAAUCUUGCGCAAUGGGCGAAAGCCUGACGCAGCCAUGCCGCGUGAAUGAUGAAGGUCUUAGGAUUGUAAAAUUCUUUCACCGGGGACGAUAAUGACGGUACCCGGAGAAGAAGCCCCGGCUAACUUCGUGCCAGCCGCCGCCGUAAAAC